rnacentral:rRNA from 1 species
UACGUAGGGUGCGAGCGUUGUCCGGAAUUACUGGGCGUAAAGAGCUCGUAGGUGGUUUGUCGCGUUGUCCGUGAAAUUCCCUGGCUUAACUGGGGGGCGUGCGGGGCGAUACGGGGUAGACUGGAGUACUGCAGGGGAGACUGGAAUUCCUGGUGUAGCGGUGGAAUGCGCAGAUAUCAGGAGGAACACCCGGUGGCGAAGGCGGGGUCUCUGGGGCAGUAACUGACGCUGGAG